GUGCAAGCGUUGUCCGGAAUUAUUGGGCGUAAAGAGCUCGUAGGCGGUUUGUUGCGUCGGCUGUGAAAACCUGAGGCUCAACCUCAGGCCUGCAGUCGAUACGAGCAGACUAGAGUGUUGCAGGGGAGACUGGAAUUCCUGGUGUAGCGGUGAAAUGCGCAGAUAUCAGGAGGAACACCGGUGGCGAAGGCGGGUCUCUGGGCAACAACUGACGCUGAGGAGCGAAAGCGUGGGGAGC
rnacentral:rRNA from 1 species